UACAGAGGGUGCGAGCGUUGUCCGGAAUUACUGGGCGUAAAGGGCGCGUAGGCGGCUCGAUAAGUAGGAGGUGAAAUUCCGUGGCUUAACCACGGAACGGCCUUCUAGACUGUCAGGCUUGAGCACGGUAGAGGCAGAUGGAAUUCCCGGUGUAGCGGUGGAAUGCGUAGAGAUCGGGAAGAGCACCAGUGGCGAAGGCGGUCUGCUGGGCCGUUGCUGACGCUGAUGCGCGACAGCGUGGGGAGCAAACAGG
rnacentral:rRNA from 1 species